rnacentral:rRNA from 1 species
AACGAACGCUGGCGGCGUGGCUAAGACAUGCAAGUCGAACGAACUAUUAAUUUAUUAAUAGUUAGUGGCGAAAGGGUUAGUAAUGGAUAGGUAACGUACCCUGUGCUUCGGGAUAGCGUCGUUCGCCUUCGGGCGAACUACCGAAAGGGGCGGUAAUACCGAAUAAUAUCAUUUGCCGAUGGGUAAAUGAACAAAGAUUUAUCGGCGUAGGAGCGGCCUAUCUCUUAUCAGCUUGUUGGUGAGGUAAUGGCUCACCAAGGCAAUGACGGGUAGCGGGACUGAGAGGUUGACCCGCAACAUCGGGACUGAGACACUGCCCGGACCUCCACGGAGGGCUGCAGUAACGAAUAUUGCGCAAUGGGCGAAAGCCUGACGCAGCGACGCCGCGUGCGGGAGGAAGUCUUUCGGGAUGUAAACCGCUGUCAGGGGUAAGAAAGUUCACUUCGGUGGAUUGAUCUAGCCCAGAGGAAGUCACGGCUAACUUCGUGCCAGCAGCCGCGGUAAGACGAAGGUGGCAAGCGUUGUUCGGUAUUACUGGGCUUAAAGCGUGUGUAGGCGGAAAGGUAAGCGUUUUGUGAAAUCCCCCGGCUUAACCGGGGAAUCGCUCGGCGAACUGCUUUUCUUGAGGCAAGUAGGGGUGCACGGAACUCUUGGUGGAGCGGUGGAAUGCGUAGAUAUCAAGAGGAACGCCAGCGGUGAAAACGGUGCACUGGGCUUGUCCUGACGCUGAGAUACGAAAGCGUGGGGAGCGAACGGGAUUAGAUACCCCGGUAGUCCACGCUGUAAACGAUGUCUACUAGGUUGCGGUGGUUCUGACACCGUCGCGGCCGAAGCAAAAGUGUUAAGUAGACCGCCUGGGGAGUACGGCCGCAAGGCUAAAACUCAAAGGAAUUGACGGGGGCUCACACAAGCGGUGGAGCAUGUGGAUUAAUUCGAAGCAACGCGUAGAACCUUACCUGGGUUUGACAUGCCUGGAUGCCACUCCCGAAAGGGGGUUUGGCUGCCCUUCGGGGUGAAACUUGCACAGGUGCUGCAUGGCUGUCGUCAGCUCGUGUCGUGAGAUGUCGGGUUAAGUCCUUUAACGAGCGAAACCCUUGCCGUUAGUUGCCAGCGGGUCAUGCCGGGGACUCUAACGGGACUGCCGGUGUAAAACCGGAGGAAGGUGGGGAUGACGUCAAGUCCUCAUGGCCUUUAUGCCCAGGGCUUCACACGUGCUACAAUGGUGGCCACAGAGCGACGCGAAGCCGCGAGGUGGAGCAAAUCGCAAAAAUGUCGCCUCAGUUCGGAUUGCAGGCUGGCAACUCGCCUGCAUGAAGUUGGAAUCGCUAGUAAUCGCGUAUCAGCUACGACGCGGUGAAUGUGUUCCUGAGCCUUGUACACACCGCCCGUCAAGUGAUGGGAGUUGGGAGUACCCGAAGUCGGUUUGCUAACCUAAUUUAUUAGGAAGCGGCUGCCGACGGUAAGCCCGAUGACUGGCACU